GAGAGGGUUUAGACCCUCGGCAUACUGCUCAGUAACACGCGGACAAUCUGCCCUAAGGUGGGGAAUAAUCUCGGGAAACUGAGCAUAAUACCCCAUAGAUCAUGAAUGCUGGAAUGCUUCAUGGUCAAAAGCUCCGGCGCCUUAGGAUGAGUCUGCGGCCUAUCAGGUCGUAGUGGGUGUAACGGACCCACUAGCCAACGACGGGUACGGGCGUUGGGAGACGUCGCCCGGAGAUGGAUUCUGAGACACGAAUCCAGGCCCUACGGGGCGCAGCAGUCGCGAAAACUUGUCAAUGCGGGAAACCGCGAACAGGGGAGUCCAAGUGCUUGCACUUUGUGUAAGCUGUUCGGUUGUCUAAAAAACAGCCGAAGGAAGGGCUGGGUAAGACAGGUGCCAGCCGCCGCGGUAAUACCUGCAGCCCGAGUGGUGAUCGAUUUUAUUGAGCCUAAAGCGUCCGUAGCCGGACUAGUAAACCCUUGGGUAAAUUGGGCAGCUUAACUGUCCGAAUUCCGAGGGGACUGCUAGACUUGGGACCGGGAGAGGUCAGAGGUACUCCAGGGGUAGGGGCUAAAUCCGAUAUGGUUUCGUGCCAUUCGGUUAGCAUUCCUGUAAUCCUUGGGGGACCACCAGUGGCGAAGGCGUCUGACUAGAACGGAUCCGACGGUAAGGGACGAAACCCUGGGGCGCGAACCGGAUUAGAUACCCGGGUAGUCCAGGGCGUAAACGCUGCAGGCUUGGUGUUGGGGAUCCUACGAGGAUGCCCAGUGCCGGAGUGAAGAUGUUAAACCUGCCGCUUGGGGAGUACGUCCGCAAGGAUGAAACUUAAAGGAAUUGGCGGGAGAGCACAGCAACGGGAGGAGCGUGCGGUUCAAUUGGAUUCAACGCCGGG
rnacentral:rRNA from 1 species